GAAGGGUUGGCAGAGAGUGUUGUGUAUGGGGGACCGUGUGGACAGGGUUUAAGGGGCAUGGGCAGGCCCUGGGCGGGGCAGCUGGGUACACAAUGGGCCCUUGUCCUGCAGGCUGCAGCUCCUGGGCGCCCUGAGCAAAUACACGCCCUGUUCUCGGCUGCACACCGCGUCCUGGGACGCCACCGUGGCUGGGGGCCAGUGGGAGGGUGGCUGCAAGGCCAGGGCAUCCGCCCAAGGGUUCUGCUGCCCGUGGACCUCCAUGUGGAGCCGUCCCCGCGGUGGCCUGGGUGUGGCACUCAUGCCUUGGCCACCCCACCGGGUCCACCCAGGGAUCCCCUGGGGGAGAGUGGCUCACUCUGACCCUGCUGGAGAUGCCCAACCAGGCCCGAGGCCCAGCUCAGCCUGCAGGACUCCGGGCUCCCACUCAAGCCACCUGCAUGCCCAUCCUGCGUCUGCCCUGCCCUGCCCACCCGCAGCCACAGCCCUGGAUGGGCCUCAGCCCGGGGCUUUCUCAGGACGUCUGGGUUGGGGCAGAGGCCAGGCGGGCAGGGCUUGGCUCAGGUCCCUGCCAAGGCACCUUCCUAGGUGCGGGGUCUCUCUGGAGCACCAGUGGGAGCUGCAGGCAGGCCCUGCCAGGGGUCCCCACCCAGCCCUCUGGCCUGCCCCAGGCCCGUGGCCCUGAGAGGGUGAUGGGGGCCUGCCUUCCCGACCGGUGCUGAGGACAGCCCUGGCCAGAGCUGGGGGACAGCUGGGACAGGGAUCAGCCCUCCCCCAGGGACCUGGGCAGGGGUGGAGAGGAGAGGACCCAUCUUCCUGGGGUGGUGGGAUGCUCCAUCAGGCCGUGGGGGCUUUGUCAGGGGCAGGGAGGAGAGCUGGGGGGCAGCUGAGCACUGAGGGGAGGCACACAAGGCCCUGGGGGUUUGCUGUGGGUUCGGGCACCAGUGGCUGCUCCCUCCUCUCUACGUCUCUUCCCUGGAAGCGGCAGGAGCUGACUGCUCACCCUGAAGGAGUGCCUGAGACACCUCGUCACCUGGUAACAGCAUACCGUCAGCACAAGGGCUCGAAGGAGGCCGGAGAACCCAGGGGAGACAGGCACCAAGAAAGACCGUAGCAAGAAAGUUCUUGGCCAGCAAUACACCCCACCACACCAGGCAACAUCUUGGACGUACGGUCAAGAGCCAUGAGGCCUGGUUAGCCUCUCUGGCAGCUGAUGCCGCUGAGCCCACCCUCCAGAGGACCACGAGAGUCCCCAGAGCACAGGACGGUCAUUGGGGGGCUCCAGGCACAGCACAGCCUGUUGGGGAAGCUGUGGGUAGCCAGGCCCCGGGGCAGCUCCGCGGCAGUGCCCUGGGAGGGCUUCCCUCAGCAGAGCUGCUUUGGCUCAGCGGACCGCCUUGUGGAGUACCCGGUCCUGUGAGGUGGCCACGGAGGGCUCCUGCACCCCUUGCCAGGAUGGGUUCCAGGGGACGGGGUGGUGUUCUCAGCUUUACCUUGAGAAGUGUCUGGACCACCUGCCCCCGUGACCCCCGUGUGUGCCUGUGUGGGGACAGGACAGCAGGCAUGGGGGCUGCACCAGAGUCCACUGGCCCCAGAGGACAGGAGGGAGCAUCUGUCCCUCAGCCAGCAUCUCGGAGCCUGGCCGCCCCCAGCACAGGGGUCCUGCCCAAGCCUAGCACAGGCUCACCCUGUUGGCCUGGAUGCCUGAAUCUGCCCCAGCUGCGCUCUGGGCGUGCAGGGAGCAGGCUCAAAGCCCUACCUCUGGAGCCCACCCUGUGCAGAUGGCUCUCACAGGCUCAGCUCCAAGGGCUGGGGGCCAUAGAGGGGCUUUAGCGGGAAUGGAGGCUGGGUCUGUCAGUGGGCAUGGGCUGAGAGUCCCUCCCUCUUGCCCUGGAGGCAGCCAAGGAGGGAAAGAGGCCUGGCCCCCCACUCCACUUCUGCUCCAGAAGCCACCAGGGAACGAAGCCACACUGGGCUUCUAGUGGACUCGGUGGUGGCCAGACUGGGCCUUGAGGCUGCGGCCCCCACGCUAGGCAGGGGUCGUCCAGGCCAGCCUGCACCUGGAGCUGGCCCUCUUUCGAGAGGCACCCACAGCUGCCAAGAGCUGAGGCCAGGGAACUUUAGGACCCCAUGGGCCUGGGCCCUGCCCUGAACAGACACAGCUCUGGGGAGGCGCCUGGGCCCCAGGAGGGUCAUUUGCAUGACAAAUGGAUGACUAGGAAACUGGUGCCAGGCGAGUGUGUGUGUCUGUGGGUGUGCAGGGGCUCUGAGGGGCCACACAGCCAGCCGCCAAUCCCAAACUCAGGGCCGCCCAAAACCAGGGGUCCCUGCCUGCAGGGCUCGGGCGGACAGUGGCCUGUGGUAAAGAAGACUGCUGGUUAUGGGGAGAGCCUGGUUCUGGGCCACAGAGUCAGGGCCUGGGCCCUCUUCGGGCCUCAGAAUAUGUUUUCAUCUGUGAGACGGGGCAGCCGCCCAGCCGGCUGCAGAUCUGAUGGAAGCACCUCAUUCUGACCCAGUUCAGGGCUCAGGGAAGGUCAGCACCCCAGGCCCGGAGACCUCAGAGCCAACACCCCCAGGUCCCUAUGUGCCGGUCCCCUCCAUUUCUGCCCUCCCCUGUGGCCUGCGGGGCUGUGGGGCAGGUGGGGAGGGUCACUCUGAGUAGACAGGGAGGCCGGAACACCGUCCUGGUCGGUGGCAGGGACAGGCGGCCUCGGUCUCGGCUCACCCUGCCUCCUCCAUGAGUCCCACUGUCCUUCCUGACUCCUGGGAGCAGCCACGUGGUCUGCAGAGCCCAGCGCACGGGGAGAACUCGGGCUCCUUGUUCAAAGGACGGGAAAAAGUGACAUUACAGGUGGAGUCUCGCUCCGUUGCCAGGCUGGACUGCAGCGUCGCGAUCUCAGCUCACUGCAACCUCCACCUCCCAGGUUCAAGUGAUCCUCCUGCCUCAGCCUCCCGAGUAGCUGGGAUUACAGGUGCCCACCACCACGCCCGGCUAAUUUUUGUAUUUUUAGUAGAGACGGGGUUUCACCAUGUUGGCCUGGCUGGUCUUGAACUCCUGACCUCAGGUGAUCCACCCACCUCAGCCUCCCAAAGUGCUGGGAUUACAGGCGUGAGCCGCCGCGCCCCGCCCUGAUUUCACCAUAUAUCUUCAUUUUGUGCAAGGUGAGGUUUCAUGCAGACGUCAGACUGCAGGACUCCCAUGUGGCACCACUAAAGUCACACAGCUCGUUAUCUGCUGCUCAGAUGGGCACGUGUGUUUGGUUUUUACCAGAAGAGUGGAAAUGCUGCACCGAACUAACUCGACUGCUUUUCAUUUUCCUUGCGAUAAAAUAUAAGUAACAGA